rnacentral:rRNA from 1 species
AACGAACGCUGGCGGCAGGCCUAACACAUGCAAGUCGAGCGGGGACUUCGGUCCUAGCGGCGGACGGGUGAGUAACGCGUGGGAACGUGCCCUUUGCUUCGGAAUAGCCCCUGGAAACGGGGAGUAAUACCGGAUGUGCCCUACGGGGGAAAGAAUUUCGGCAAAGGAUCGGCCCGCGUUGGAUUAGGUAGUUGGUGGGGUAAUGGCCUACCAAGCCGACGAUCCAUAGCUGGUUUGAGAGGAUGAUCAGCCACACUGGGACUGAGACACGGCCCAGACUCCUACGGGAGGCAGCAGUGGGGAAUCUUGGACAAUGGGCCACAAGCCUGAUCCAGCAAUUCUGUGUGCACGAUGAAGGUCUUCGGAUUGUAAAGUGCUUUCAGUAGGGAAGAAAAAAAUGACGGUACCUACAGAAGAAGCGACGGCUAAAUAUGUGCCAGCAGCAGCCGCGGUAA